CAACUCUAGAGAUAGAGUCUUCCCCUUCGGGGGACAAAGUGACAGGUGGUGCAUGGUUGUCGUCAGCUCGUGUCGUGAGAUGUUGGGUUAAGUCCCGCAACGAGCGCAACCCUUAAGCUUAGUUGCCAGCAUUAAGUUGGGCACUCUAAGUUGACUGCCGGUGACAAACCGGAGGAAGGUGGGGAUGACGUCAAAUCAUCAUGCCCCUUAUGAUUUGGGCUACACACGUGCUACAAUGGACAAUACAAAGGGCAGCUAAACCGCGAGGUCAUGCAAAUCCCAUAAAGUUGUUCUCAGUUCGGAUUGUAGUCUGCAACUCGACUACAUGAAGCUGGAAUCGCUAGUAAUCGUAGAUCAGCAUGCUACGGUGAAUACGUUCCCGGGUCUUGUACACACCGCCCGUCACACCACGAGAGUCUGUAACACCCGAAGCCGGUGGAGUAACCAUUUAUGGAGCUAGCCGUCGAAGGUGGGACAAAUGAUUGGGGUGAAGUCGUAACAAGGUAGCCGUAUCGGAAGGUGCGGCUGGAUCACCUC
rnacentral:rRNA from 1 species